rnacentral:rRNA from 1 species
GACGAACGCUGGCGGCGUGCUUAACACAUGCAAGUCGAACGGUAAGGCUCCAGCUUGCUGGGGUACACGAGUGGCGAACGGGUGAGUAACACGUGGGUGACCUGCCCUGCACUUCGGGAUAAGCCUGGGAAACUGGGUCUAAUACCGGAUAGGACCGCACCGUGAGGGUGUGGUGGAAAGUUUUUUCGGUGUGGGAUGGGCCCGCGGCCUAUCAGCUUGUUGGUGGGGUAAUGGCCUACCAAGGCGGCGACGGGUAGCCGGCCUGAGAGGGUGGACGGCCACAUUGGGACUGAGACACGGCCCAGACUCCUACGGGAGGCAGCAGUGGGGAAUAUUGCACAAUGGGCGGAAGCCUGAUGCAGCGACGCCGCGUGGGGGAUGACGGCCUUCGGGUUGUAAACUCCUUUCACCAUCGACGAAGGGUUUCUGACGGUAGAUGGAGAAGAAGCACCGGCUAACUACGUGCCAGCAGCCGCGGUAAUACGUAGGGUGCGAGCGUUGUCCGGAAUUACUGGGCGUAAAGAGCUCGUAGGUGGUUUGUCGCGUCGUCUGUGAAAUUCCGGGGCUUAACUCCGGGCGUGCAGGCGAUACGGGCAUAACUUGAGUACUGUAGGGGAGACUGGAGUUCCUGGUGUAGCGGUGAAAUGCGCAGAUAUCAGGAGGAACACCGGUGGCGAAGGCGGGUCUCUGGGCAGUAACUGACGCUGAGGAGCGAAAGCAUGGGGAGCGAACAGGAUUAGAUACCCUGGUAGUCCAUGCCGUAAACGGUGGGCGCUAGGUGUGGGUUUCCUUCCACGGGAUCCGUGCCGCAGCUAACGCAUUAAGCGCCCCGCCUGGGGAGUACGGCCGCAAGGCUAAAACUCAAAGGAAUUGACGGGGGCCCGCACAAGCGGCGGAGCAUGUGGAUUAAUUCGAUGCAACGCGAAGAACCUUACCUGGGCUUGACAUAUACAGGAUCGCGCCAGAGAUGGUGUUUCCCUUGUGGCUUGUAUACAGGUGGUGCAUGGUUGUCGUCAGCUCGUGUCGUGAGAUGUUGGGUUAAGUCCCGCAACGAGCGCAACCCUUGUCUUAUGUUGCCAGCACGUUGUGGUGGGGACUCGUAAGAAACUGCCGGGGUUAACUCGGAGGAAGGUGGGGAUGACGUCAAAUCAUCAUGCCCCUUAUGUCCAGGGCUUCACACAUGCUACAAUGGUCGGUACAGUGGGUUGCCAGUCCGUGAGGGCGAGCUAAUCCCGCAAAGCCGGUCUCAGUUCGGAUCGGGGUCUGCAACUCGACCCCGUGAAGUCGGAGUCGCUAGUAAUCGCAGAUCAGCAACGCUGCGGUGAAUACGUUCCCGGGCCU